rnacentral:sRNA from 1 species
AACAAAUAUCUCAUAAUUUGUGCCCUGGAUUACAUGGCGGCAGCCUGCUGUCAUCGAAUAUUCCAGUUGUUUACACAACUAUUUGGUA